rnacentral:rRNA from 1 species
AUUGAACGCUGGCGGCAUGCCUUACACAUGCAAGUCGAACGGUAACAGGUCUUCGGAUGCUGACGAGUGGCGAACGGGUGAGUAAUACAUCGGAACGUGCCCGAGAGUGGGGGAUAACGAAGCGAAAGCUUUGCUAAUACCGCAUACGAUCUCAGGAUGAAAGCAGGGGACCGCAAGGCCUUGCGCUCACGGAGCGGCCGAUGGGAGAUUAGGUAGUUGGUGGGAUAAAAGCUUACCAAGCCGACGAUCUGUAGCUGGGCUGAGAGGAUGAUCAGCCACCAUGGGACUGAGACACGGCCCAGACUCCUACGGGAGGCAGCAGUGGGGAAUUUUGGACAAUGGGGGCAACCCUGAUCCAGCCAUGCCGCGUGCGGGAAGAAGGCCUUCGGGUUGUAAACCGCUUUUGUCCGGAAAGAAAAGGCGCCACCUAAUACGGGGCGUUCUUGACGGUACCGGAAGAAUAAGCACCGGCUAACUACGUGCCAGCCGCCGCCGUAACAC